rnacentral:lncRNA from 1 species
AAAGGGAGAGGGUGAAUUAAGAGCUUCAGAAAAUGGGGCCUUUGGGAUGUGAGUUUUGGCAGAAGGUGGACUAGCUGAAGAAGAAGAAGGUUUUUGAUUUUCAUUUGACACAUUUUUAUCCUCUUCUUCACCUUCCUUAUUGUUAUCCUCCCCAAUCUUAUUGUCUACUACACGUCAACUCUUUAGGGUAGUCAAAACAUUGGCUUGUUCAUGAUGAAUUGUAUUUAGUUGAUUUUCUUGAGCCAUGUAUCGUCCCCUAGAAUUACUUAGUGGUUGGCUUGGAAGCUUUCCUUCCUCUCGCUUGUUCAGUGCAUUAGCUAGUUGCCCCAUUUGGAAUUCUAGCUUGGUGAUUGAUUGCAUGUGAGAGUGCACCAAUUGUGUAAUGGUUUCCAAACCUUGAAGGGCGUUCAACACUUUCUCCUCAAAAGCUGUGUUUCUUUGGGGUGGAGGAGUGUGUUGAAAUUGAGUCGAGGGACGGUAGAGAUGAAAAUUCUGAGGGUUUUGAAAAUUUUGGGAGUGGGGUUGGGCAGUAUUCGAAGCUCGCUGUCUCCAAGAGAAAUUUGGAUGAUUCCGCCAUCCCGGAUUAUAUGUAUUGGAAAAUGGGUCAUUACCCGGUCUAGGCUG